rnacentral:rRNA from 1 species
UAAAAAAUUUUGGCGGUAUUUUAAGCUUAUUAGAGGAAUUUGCUCUGUGAUGGACACAACGCCUUAAUCUUACUUAAUUUAGUAAUUUAAAUCAGUUUGUAUACCACUAUAUUAAUUAUAUUGAAUAGUUAUAUUUAAAAUUUUUAAAAAAAAAUAUAUUAAGUCAAGGUGCAUCUAAUAAUUAUGAAUGAAGUGAAUUACAUUAAUUUUAAUGUAAUUUUUUACAUGAAAAAAUUAAUUAGGAUUUAAUAGUAAAAUACUAAUAUUAUGAGUAUUUGAAUCAAGCUCUAAAAUAUGCACAUAUCGCCCGUCGCUCUCAGAAGUGAGAUAAGUCGUAACAAAGUAAAAAUACUGGAAAGUGUUUUUUAAAAUGAAAUCAUUUGAUGUUUCAUUUACAAUGAAAAUUUUGUUGUUUAACCAUUUUAA